rnacentral:rRNA from 1 species
UAACAAGGAUUCCCCUAGUAACUGCGAGUGAAGCGGGAAAAGCUCAAAUUUAAAAUCUGGCGGUUGCACCGUCCGAGUUGUAAUCUGGAGAAGCGUUUUCCGUGUUGGACCGUGUACAAGUCCCUUGGAACGGGGCGUCAUAGAGGGUGAGAAUCCCGUCCAUGACACGGACUGCCAAUGCUUUGUGAUACGCUCUCGAAAAGUCGAGUUGUUUGGGAAUGCAGCUCAAAAUGGGUGGUAAAUUCCAUCUAAAGCUAAAUAUUGGCGAGAGACCGAUAGCGAACAAGUACCGUGAGGGAAAGAUGAAAAGCACUUUGGAAAGAGAGUUAAACAGUACGUGAAAUUGUUGAAAGGGAAACGCUUGGAGUCAGUCGCGUCUGUCGAGACUCAGCCUUGCCUUCGGGCUUGGUGUACUUCUCGGCCUGACGGGCCAACAUCGAUUUCGAACGGCGGAUAAAGGUCUGGGGAAGGUGGCACCUUCGGGUGUGUUAUAGCCCCUCUCCGUAUACGUCGUCGGGGAUCGAGGACCGCAGCACGCCCUUGUGGCUGGGGCCCUUUGCCCACAUAACGUGCUUAGGAUGUUGGCGUAAUGGCUUUAAGCGACCCGUCUUGAAACACGGACCAAGGAGUCUAACAUGCCCGCGAGUGUUAGGGUGUAAAACCCUUGCGCGUAAUGAAAGUGAAAGUUGGGACCUCUGUCGAGGAGGGCACCGACGCCCGGCCCUGAACUCUUGUGACGGUGCUGCGGUAGAGCGUGUAUGUUGGGACCCGAAAGAUGGUGAACUAUGCCUGAAUAGGGCGAAGCCAGAGGAAACUCUGGUGGAGGCUCGUAGCGAUUCUGACGUGCAAAUCGAUCGUCAAAUUUGGG